rnacentral:rRNA from 1 species
GGUUCGAUUCUGGCUCAGAUUGAACGCUGGCGGGAUGCUUUACACAUGCAGCCGAACGGCAGCACGGACUUCGGUCUGGUGGCGAGUGGCGAACGGGUGAGUAAUGUAUCGGAACGUGCCUAGUAGCGGGGAUAAUUACGCGAAAGCAGACACGUAUGUUGCCCCUUCGGGGAAAGCGGGGACCUUUCGGGCCUGCACUAUUAGGAGCGGCCGGGAUAUCGGAUUAGCUAGUUGGUGGGUAACGGCUCGUCAGCGAUUAUCCGUAGCUGGUUUGAGAGGACGACCAGCCACACUGGGACUGAGACACGGCCCAGACUCCUACGGAGGCAGCAGUGGGGAAUUUUGACAAUGGGGAAACCCCGAUCCAGCCAUCCCGGGCGUGUGCGAUGAAGGCCUUCGGGUUGUAAAGCACUUUGGCAGGAAAGAAACGGCACGGGAUAAUACCCCGUGCAACUGACGGUACCUGCAGAAUAAGCACCGGCUAACUACGUGCCAGCAGCCGCGGUAAUACGUAGGGUGUGGGCGUUGACCCGGAAUUACUGGGCGUAGAGCGUGCGCAGGCGGUUCGAAAGAAAGAUGUGAAAUCCUGUUUUGUAACUUUGGAACUGCAUUUUUAACUACCGAGCUAGAGUGUGUCAGAGGGAGGUGGAAUUCCGCGUGUAGCAGAAAUGCGUAGAUAUGCGGAGGAACACCGAUGACAGCCUCUGGGAUAAUCGACUUUCGCAACGAAAGUUUUUGUUGUUCCAGGAUUAGAUACCCUGGUAGUCCACGCCUCAAACGAUGUCAACUAGCUGUUGGGGCCUUCGCCCGGUAAAGAGUUAACGCGUGAAGUUGACCGCCUGGGGAGGCAUGGUCAAGAUUAAAACUCAAAGGAAUUGACGGGGACCCGUACAAGCGGUGGAUGAUGUGGAUUAAUUCAUAACGCGAAAACCUUUACCUACCCUUGACAUGUCUGGAAUCAAAGAGAUUUGGGAGUGCUCGCAAGAGAACCGGAACACAGGUGCUGCAUGGUUGCCGUCAGCUCGUGUCGAGAUGUUGGGUUAAGUCCCGCAACGAGCGCAACCCUUCGUCAUUAGUUGCUACGAAAGGGCACUCUAAUGAGACUGCCGGUGACAAACCGGAGGAAGGGGAUGACGUCAAGUCCUCAUGGCCCUUAUGGGUAGGGCUUCACACGUCAUACAAUGGUCGGGACAGAGGGUCGCCAACCUGCGAGGGGAGCCGGCAUCUCAGAACCUGAUCGAACCGGAUCGCAGUUCACGCAGUAGAACUGACUCUGUGAAGUCGGAAUCGCUAGUAAUCGCGGAUCAGCAUGUCGCGGUGAAUACGUUCCCGGGUCUUGUACACACUGCCCGUCACACCAUGGGGAGUGGGUUUUACCAGAAGUAGUUAGCUCAACCGUAAGGAGGGCGAUUACCACGGUAGAUUCAUGACUGGGGUGAAGUCGUAUCAGGCGUAA